AGCGAACGCUGGCGGCAGGCUUAACACAUGCAAGUCGAGCGGGCCCUUCGGGGUCAGCGGCAGACGGGUGAGUAACGCGUGGGAACGUGCCCUUCGGUUCGGAAUAACUCAGGGAAACUUGAGCUAAUACCGGAUACGCCCUUAUGGGGAAAGGCUUGCUGCCGAAGGAUCGGCCCGCGUCUGAUUAGCUAGUUGGUGAGGUUAUGGCUCACCAAGGCGACGAUCAGUAGCUGGUCUGAGAGGAUGAUCAGCCAUACUGGGACUGAGACACGGCCCAGACUCCUACGGGAGGCAGCAGUGGGGAAUAUUGGACAAUGGGGGCAACCCUGAUCCAGCCAUGCCGCGUGAGUGAUGACGGCCUUAGGGUUGUAAAGCUCUUUUCUCCGGGACGAUAAUGACGGUACCGGAGGAAUAAGCCCCGGCUAACUUCGUG
rnacentral:rRNA from 1 species